GAGGUAUGAUGCGGGGUGUAGUUCAGGAACAUCUCGCCGCGUGCCUGGUCGAUACAGUGAAACAGCGGGUUCCAGUCGAACAGCGCAAUCAUCCAGCCGGGCAGCAUAUUGACAACGAACAUCUUUCCCGAGGCGAUCAUGUUCACCCGCUG
rnacentral:ncRNA from 1 species